AAAUGUGAGAGUGACGUCUGUCACCCCAUCUAUUGCCAGUGUUGAUUCGGCUGAUCUGGAUCGAUAGACAGUGGUCCCCUGCUUCCCUCACAGCUCCAUGAGCAUCCUUCCUGAAGUUGCCUACUGAGUCAAAGAGGAUGACCUUCCCCAGUUGAGGAAGAACAGUUUUCCAUCAAGGGUAGACUGCACUUCCCUGCUAU
rnacentral:snRNA from 1 species